rnacentral:rRNA from 1 species
GCAUAUCAAUAAGCGGAGGAAAAGAAACCAACAGGGAUUGCCCUAGUAACGGCGAAGUGAAGCGGCAACAGCUCAAAUUUGAAAUCUGGCUCUUUUAGAGCCCGAGUUGUAAUUUGCAGAGGGCGCUUUGGUGUUGGCAGCGGUCCAAGUUUCCUUGGAACAGGACGUCACAGAGGGUGAGAAUCCCGUACGUGGUCGCUAGCCUUCGCCGUGUAAAGCCCCUUCGACGAGUCGAGUUGUUUGGGAAUGCAGCUCUAAAUGGGAGGUAAAUUUCUUCUAAAGCUAAAUACUGGCCAGAGACCGAUAGCGCACAAGUAGAGUGAUCGAAAGAUGAAAAGCACUUUGGAAAGAGAGUCAAAUAGCACGUGAAAUUGUUGAAAGGGAAGCGCUUGCAGCCAGACUUGCCUGUAGUUGCUCAUCCGGGCUUUUGCCCGGUGCACUCUUCUAUAGGCAGGCCAGCAUCAGUUUGGGCGGUUGGAUAAAGGUCUCUGUCAUGUACCUCCUUUCGGGGAGGCCUUAUAGGGGAGACGACAUGCAACCAGCCUGGACUGAGGUCCGCGCAUUUGCUAGGAUGCUGGCGUAAUGGCUGUAAGCGGCCCGUCUUGAAACACGGACCAAGGAGUCUAACAUCUAUGCGAGUGUUUGGGUGUCAAGCCCGAACGCGUAAUGAAAGUGAACGGAGGUGGGAACCCUUACGGGUGCACCAUCGACCGAUCCUGAUGUCUUCGGAUGGAUUUGAGUAAGAGCAUGGCUGUUGGGACCCGAAAGAUGGUGAACUAUGCUUGAAUAGGGUGAAGCCAGAGGAAACUCUGGUGGAGGCUCGCAGCGGUUCUGACGUGCAAAUCGAUCGUCAAAUUUGGGCAUAGGGGCGAAAGACUA